rnacentral:lncRNA from 1 species
ACGACCCCACGGCUGGCAUGGUGACACUGGACGGGCACGACCUGCGCACACUUGACCCCUCCUGGCUCCGGGGGCCAGGUCAUCGGCUUCAUCAGCCAGGAGCCAGUCUUGUUUGGAACAACCAUCAUGGAGAACAUCCGCUUUGGGAAACUGGAAGCUUCUGACGAAGAGGUGAGCGAGGCACAACCCUGUCUGGUGGCCAGAAGCAGCGCCUGGCCAUCGCCCGGGCACUCAUCAAACAGCCCACAGUGCUGAUUCUGGACGAGGCCACCAGCGCCCUGGACUCAGAGUCUGAGCAGGUGGUGCAGGAGGCCCUGAACCGGGCCAGUGCUGGCCGCACUGUGCUGGUCAUCGCCCACCGGCUCAGCACUGUGCGCGCGCCCACUGCAUCGUCGUCAUGGCCAAUGGCCGGGUCUGUGAGGCUGGGACCCACGAAAAGCUCCUGAGGAAAGGCGGGCUAUAUGCCGAGCUCAUCCGACGAGACAGGCCCUGGAUGCCCCACUAUCAUCGGCCCCACCUCCGGAGACCCUGAGAGACCCCCAGGACCGCUGGCCCAGGACCCUGAGAGGGACUCUGAGUUCUGGUCACUGCCAACUGCCAGCGCCAGGCCUGGGGGACUCGCAAAGCUGAGUCCCUGGACAGCUGGCAUGUUGGGGUGGCUGGCACUACUUCCCCCUAACACACAAUAAAGCUGCUCCGUGGCCAGGCUGGGAGGCGGGAUCUCUCCCAUCAUUCUGCCCUUGCUGUCUACUGCCUCCCUUCCUUCCUACCCGAGCUCCAUGGUUGUUGGGGCUGAUGGGCCAAGGUGAAACCCCACCCUUGAUGUUGUCCAGCCCCAGCUCCAAGGAAUUUCAAACACCCAGGGCUCUUCCCCCAGCCAGGGCUUCACUUGCCUCACUCAUCUAGCCUAGGGACUGACGCCCACGCUCCUGGCUCCUAUCCCACAGCUCCCUUCCUUCACUGCCUACCCCCAUUGCCUCAGCCUCCAGUCUGGAUUUCCUUCCCACUACUGCCAUGGGAUCAAGGCCUGCCGGGCCGCUCUUGGUCAGGGCAGGAUGUGGGACAGGUGGGCCAUUCCCAUAGGAAGUACCCCACCUGCUUCACUGGACACCACUGCCCUGCCCCUGUGCCUUGAGUCUUCAACCCAGUGAGACUGAGGCCCUGCUUCCUGCUCCACUGAAGGAGACUAAAGGGGACCAGAUACACCUAAUCAAAUGAACCUGUGGCCCCAUGGCUGAAUGGGGCAGGCAUGGGCCCUGGCAGCUUCUGCAGGGCCAGGCACAUACGAGAGGGCCCUUGCACUGAGCUGGUGCCCAGGACAGAGCAGUGAGGCCCUCAAGUCCCUGUGCUACUGCAGCUGCAUCAGCCCUCAUCCAUGCACAAAGCUCAUGGCUUCCUGCCUUGACACUGCCCAUGUCACUCCCCACUGAGAACCCUUCUCUGUCUGGUCGUGUCUGGGUAAAGGCACUCCACAGAGCCUGCUCCCCAGGGUAGGAAGAGGGGGUGUCAGUUGCACCUCCCCAGCCCACCAGGCAUUUUGGACUCUUCUAUGGUACAGAGGGGUGGCUCCAUUUCCCAUGGGGCGAGGGCAGCGGUGAAGUACAGACCAGAGGCUGCUGCUGGAAGGCCAUCCUGGAAGAGGCAGCAGCGGCUCAGGGCACAGUAUAGGACCAGGUGCUACUAUGAGGACAUGCCAUGCCAGCCACAGCCCACCUACCUGGAUGGUGUCGCAGUAAUCUCACCUCAGCCUUGCACCAGCAGCUACACAGUAAAGAUGAGCAGCCUGGCUGCGCUCUGUUUUGAAAGCCUCUUCCAGGAGUUAAGUGGGAACCAAGGCUAUAAUCCCAGUGCUCAGGAGGCUGAGGCAGGAGGAUCACAAUGAGUUCAAGGCCAGUUUGAACUACAUAGAGUCUCAAUUUUUAAAAAAUUAUAUAUAUAUAUAUAUAUAUAUAUAUAUAUAUAUAUAUAUAUAUAUAUAUACUCACACACACAUAUAAUGAAGAGCUGGGUGUGGUGGCUAAU